UAUUGCUUACGCUUCUCCAUUAUCUCGGC
rnacentral:sRNA from 1 species